CCUACGGGAGGCAGCAGUGAGGAAUAUUGGACAAUGGACGAAAGCCUGAACCAGCCAAGUAGCGUGAAGGAUGACUGCCCUCUGGGUUGUAAGCUUCUUUUAUAAAGGAGAAAAACGAGGCACGUGUGCCUUUUUGCAUGUACUUUAUAAAUAAGGAUCGGCUAACUCCGUGCCAGCAGCCGCGGUAAUACGGAGGGUACGAGCGUUAUCCGGAUUUAAUGGGUUUAACGGGAGCGUAGAUGGGUUGUUAAGUCAGUUGUGAAAGUUUGCGGCUCAACCGGAAAAUUGCAAUGGAUACUGGCAGUCUUGAGUACAGUUGAGGUAGGCGGAAUUCGUGGUGUAGCGGUGAAAUGCUUAGAUAUCACGAAGAACCCCGAUUGCGAAGGCAGCUUACUAAACUGUGACUGACAUUGAUGCUCGAAAGUGUGGGUAGCAAACAGGAUUAGAUACCCCGAUAGUC
rnacentral:rRNA from 1 species